AACAGGAUUAGAUACCCUGGUAGUCCACGCUGUAAACGAUGUCGACUUGGAGGUUGUGCCCUUGAGGCGUGGCUUCCGGAGCUAACGCGUUAAGUCGACCGCCUGGGGAGUACGGCCGCAAGGUUAAAACUCAAAUGAAUUGACGGGGGCCCGCACAAGCGGUGGAGCAUGUGGUUUAAUUCGAUGCAACGCGAAGAACCUUACCUACUCUUGACAUCCAGAGAAUUUGCUAGAGAUAGCUUAGUGCCUUCGGGAACUCUGAGACAGGUGCUGCAUGGCUGUCGUCAGCUCGUGUUGUGAAAUGUUGGGUUAAGUCCCGCAACGAGCGCAACCCUUAUCCUUUGUUGCCAGCACGUAGUGGUGGGAACUCAAAGGAGACUGCCGGUGAUAAACCGGAGGAAGGUGGGGAUGACGUCAAGUCAUCAUGGCCCUUACGAGUAGGGCUACACACGUGCUACAAUGGCAUAUACAAAGAGAAGCGAACUCGCGAGAGCAAGCGGACCUCAUAAAGUAUGUCGUAGUCCGGAUUGGAGUCUGCAACUCGACUCCAUGAAGUCGGAAUCGCUAGUAAUCGUAGAUCAGAAUGCUACGGUGAAUACGUUCCCGGGCCUUGUACACACCGCCCGUCACACCAUGGGAGUGGGUUGCAAAAGAAGUAGGUAGCUUAACCUUCGGGAGGGCGCUUACCACUUUGUGAUUCAUGACUGGGGUGAAGUCGUAACAAGGUAACC
rnacentral:rRNA from 1 species